GAUGAACGCUGGCGGCGUGCCUAAUACAUGCAAGUCGAGCGAUCAGACGAGGAGCUUGCUCCUCUGACGUUUGCGGCGCGCGUGUGUGUAACACGUGUAUAACCCCUCUUUAAGGCUGGGAUAACUUCGGGAAACCGGCUCUUAUACCGUAUAAUAUAUUGAACCGCAUGGUUCAAUAGUGAAAGGCGGUUUUGCUGUUACUUAUUGAUGGUUCCGCGUCUCAUUAGCUUGUUGGUAUGGUAACGGCUUACCAAGUCGACGCUUCGUAGCCGACCUGGGAGGGGGAUCGGCAAAACUGGAACUGAGAAACGGUCAAGACUCCUACGGGAGGAAGAAGAGGGGAAUCUUGCGCAAAGGGCGAAAGCCUGACGAAGAAAGGCCGCGUGAGGGAGGAAGGUCUUCGGAUCGUAAAACUCUGUGAAAAGGGAGGAAGAAAGGUGUAAGUAAAAAUGCACGUCUUGACGGUACCUAAUCAGAAAGCCACGGCUAACUACGUG
rnacentral:rRNA from 1 species